CUUGACGACCAUAGAGCAUUGGAACCACCUGAUCCCAUCCCGAACUCAGCAGUGAAACGAUGCAUCGCCGAUGGUAGUGUGGGGUUUCCCCAUGUGAGAGUAGGUCAUCGUCAAGAUUAAAUUCCAGAACCCCUGUUUGCU
rnacentral:rRNA from 7 species